rnacentral:rRNA from 1 species
AACGAACGCAGGCGGCAGGCCUAACACAUGCAAGUCGAACGCCCCGCAAGGGGAGUGGCAGACGGGUGAGUAGCGCGUGGGAACCUUCCCAAAGGUGCGGAAUAGCUCAGGGAAACUUGGGGUAAUACCGCAUAAUGCCGAAAGGCCAAAGAUUUAUCGCCUUUGGAUGGGCCCGCGUCGGAUUAGCUAGUUGGUGAGGUAACGGCUCACCAAGGCGACGAUCCGUAGCUGGUUUGAGAGAAUGACCAGCCACACUGGGACUGAGACACGGCCCAGACUCCUACGGGAGGCAGCAGUGGGGAAUCUUGGACAAUGGGCGCAAGCCUGAUCCAGCCAUGCCGCGUGAGUGACGAAGGCCUUAGGGUUGUAAAGCUCUUUUGCCGGGGACGAUAAUGACGGUACCCGGAGAAUAAGUCCCGGCUAACUUCGUGCCAGCCGCCGCUGUAA